rnacentral:lncRNA from 1 species
CCCAAUGCCGUACAUACCAAAUUAAAACCCUAGAGAACAAUUCCUAUCAUCUUCCAUUCUUCUUCAUAACAUAACCAAGAUAACAAAAAACCCUAAGAAGACCAUAAGAGCCUAGUCGCCGCCCACCACUUUAAGCUGCCCGCCAGCGACUCUACAUGCUAGAAACAUGCACAAAAAACCACUAUCCUCCAUAGCUAGCAUCUACCCCAUCUUCUUCCACCCUAAACAUGAUCGAAAAAAACUACCACAAUAAGGGUUCGACCGUCGCUCAACUCAGCCCUAGCCAUCGCCGGCCAGUCCUAGCCAUCUUCAUCUACAAGACAAUGACCACCUCCUCCAUCUUCGUCAUGCCAAAAAACCAGAGAGAAGAACCAGUCGUCACUCUGAACAGCCACACCCCAGCCACAUAUUGAAGACCCUUCAGCUACCCAACACACGACCUUCUGACUGCUGACAGCUUCUUCUUCAAUCCUUGAACCUCCAUAGCCGCCACCUGCCACCCCGCUCCCUCCUUUUGAGAGCUACUGCUUCUUCACCUCCACCUUAACCUACUGCAAGACACACACAAGAAGACAAAUUGGAUAGAAAUAGAAUAAAAGGAAAACGAUAACACAACUUCUCAUUUGAUCGGUAAAGUCGUCAUUGAUGAAGAGAGUUGAGGUGUCAUUCAAGUUUGUUCUCGAGGUCCACAGAACAAUCUUCUACCAUUGUUGCAUUUUCAAUCAGAUUUAAUUCAUCAAAUUUUGCUGCAAAUAGUUCUCAUUAAUACUAUAUUUUCGAGGUCUAUCCUUUACUCUUUCCCUAUUUUACUGCUUGGUUCCAUGCCUAGUCUAUUUCGCUUGCCUGUUAUUGCUGUGAUUUGAGUAUUUUGUGUGUUUGCCAGAUUAAUGGAUGAAUGUCAUCCAUUUUAACAGCCAUUAUUUGUUAUGUUUGAC